rnacentral:rRNA from 1 species
AAAUUGAAGAGUUUGAUCAUGGCUCAGAUUGAACGCUGGCGGCAGGCCUAACACAUGCAAGUCGAACGGUAACAGGAAGCAGCUUGCUGCUUCGCUGACGAGUGGCGGACGGGUGAGUAAUGUCUGGGAAACUGCCUGAUGGAGGGGGAUAACUACUGGAAACGGUGGCUAAUACCGCAUAACGUCGCAAGACCAAAGAGGGGGACCUUCGGGCCUCUUGCCAUCAGAUGUGCCCAGAUGGGAUUAGCUUGUUGGUGAGGUAACGGCUCACCAAGGCGACGAUCCCUAGCUGGUCUGAGAGGAUGACCAGCCACACUGGAACUGAGACACGGUCCAGACUCCUACGGGAGGCAGCAGUGGGGAAUAUUGCACAAUGGGCGCAAGCCUGAUGCAGCCAUGCCGCGUGUAUGAAGAAGGCCUUAGGGUUGUAAAGUACUUUCAGCGGGGAGGAAGGUGUUGUGGUUAAUAACCACAGCAAUUGACGUUACCCGCAGAAGAAGCACCGGCUAACUCCGUGCCAGCAGCCGCGGUAAUACGGAGGGUGCAAGCGUUAAUCGGAAUUACUGGGCGUAAAGCGCACGCAGGCGGUCUGUCAAGUCGGAUGUGAAAUCCCCGGGCUCAACCUGGGAACUGCAUUCGAAACUGGCAGGCUUGAGUCUUGUAGAGGGGGGUAGAAUUCCAGGUGUAGCGGUGAAAUGCGUAGAGAUCUGGAGGAAUACCGGUGGCGAAGGCGGCCCCCUGGACAAAGACUGACGCUCAGGUGCGAAAGCGUGGGGAGCAAACAGGAUUAGAUACCCUGGUAGUCCACGCCGUAAACGAUGUCUACUUGGAGGUUGUGCCCUUGAGGCGUGGCUUCCGGAGCUAACGCGUUAAGUAGACCGCCUGGGGAGUACGGCCGCAAGGUUAAAACUCAAAUGAAUUGACGGGGGCCCGCACAAGCGGUGGAGCAUGUGGUUUAAUUCGAUGCAACGCGAAGAACCUUACCUGGUCUUGACAUCCACAGAACUUUCCAGAGAUGGAUUGGUGCCUUCGGGAACUGUGAGACAGGUGCUGCAUGGCUGUCGUCAGCUCGUGUUGUGAAAUGUUGGGUUAAGUCCCGCAACGAGCGCAACCCUUAUCCUUUGUUGCCAGCGGUUAGGCCGGGAACUCAAAGGAGACUGCCAGUGAUAAACUGGAGGAAGGUGGGGAUGACGUCAAGUCAUCAUGGCCCUUACGACCAGGGCUACACACGUGCUACAAUGGCGCAUACAAAGAGAAGCGACCUCGCGAGAGCAAGCGGACCUCAUAAAGUGCGUCGUAGUCCGGAUUGGAGUCUGCAACUCGACUCCAUGAAGUCGGAAUCGCUAGUAAUCGUGGAUCAGAAUGCCACGGUGAAUACGUUCCCGGGCCUUGUACACACCGCCCGUCACACCAUGGGAGUGGGUUGCAAAAGAAGUAGGUAGCUUAACCUUCGGGAGGGCGCUUACCACUUUGUGAUUCAUGACUGGGGUGAAGUCGUAACAAGGUAACCGUAGGGGAACCUGCGGUUGGAUCACCUCCUUACCUUAAAGAA